ACGAAAAAAAAUCAAAAAAUACACUAAAAGAUUAAAUGGAGUAAAUUUACAAAAUCCACCUGAAUUUUAGAGUGAUUUGCACAAAAGAUCCGAUGAACUUUCAAAAAGUUUCACUGACACAUACUUAAAACAAACUAGUUUGUUACUGACGUGAUGCAAUGGAAACUACAAAAAUUAAUGGAAGCAACUACCAAUAUGUAAGGGGUUUCCCCUCCUAGAAACUACCUUAAAAAUCGAAUCAUUAUACUGAAACUACCUUUGAAUGUCGAUUUAUACAUAAACCAUCUUUAUAAUGGGUUUGCGUCGCAAUCAAACACCUCCCGGUCAAUUUUUUCACUGAAAACCCAGAAUACCCUUGAAAACUCACAUUCAAGACACUUGAGUUAAAUUUUGUAAUGUUUCAGGUCUAGUUAUACAUCUCAAUUUCCUUCAUUGAGCGUGAAUUUUUUAAAGAUUAGUUUUUCUUCUUUUUUAGUGAAAUUUUGGUUGAGAUGAGGUUGAUUGCAAUACAAACCCAUUUAAAGGUGGUUUAUGUAUAAAUUAACAUUCAAAUGUGGUUUCUAUGGGAGUGCACAAAAAAUAUUUGUAUCCGAGAAAAUAUCUAUAUCUUUAUUUGUUAGGAUGUGGAUAUUGUUACUAAAAUUUAUAACCAAUAAGGUAUGGUAAUGGAUAUGGACCAUAUGGUUAAUUGGAUUUGGUUAUGUAGUGAAAUAUCUGUAUUUAUGUCCGAAAUAUCCGAAUAUAUGUUGGGCAUAUAGUUGCAACAGUUAUGAUCCUUAAAUUAAUGGAUUUGACGCUAAUUUUGAUAAUCAAGAGACCUAAUCUUAACUUUUCAGAUAUAAUAAAACAUAUUAAUGAAUUCCCUUGUAUCAUAUAAACUAUAUUUUUUCAAUAUUAUCUUGCUUUAUCAUAUUUGUUUUGAAUCCGCAUCUAUAUCCUCUUAUAUAUCCGCAUACAUUUCCGUAUCCGUAUCCGAUUUUAGCGCAUAUGGUUAUGAAUUUUCUUUAUCAAAGCAUAUCUGUAUCUGUAUCCAUGUCCUAUUUUAGGAGAUAUGUUUAUGAAUUUUCUUUACCGAGGCAUAUCCAUAUAUGCAUCCAUAUCCAACAUUAGUAAGAGGCUACAAAUAUGGUAAGUAUCAUAUGCGAGUCAUAUCCAAACCAUAUGCACCCCUAGGUUUCAGUAUAACACCCUAUUUUAAAGGUGGUUUCUAGGG